UCCAGGUGUGGUGGUGCACACCUAUAGUCCCAGCUACUCAGGAGGCUGAGGUGGGAGGAUCACUUGAACCCAGGAAGUCAAGGCUGCAGUGAGCUGUGAUCAUGCCACUGCACUCUGGCCUGGGUGACAAAGUGAGACCCUGUCUCAA
ensembl:misc_RNA Metazoa_SRP Metazoan signal recognition particle RNA